rnacentral:rRNA from 1 species
GACGAACGCUGGCGGCGUGCUUAACACAUGCAAGUCGAACGGAAAGGCCUGCUUUCCCUUGUGGCUUGCGGGUACUCGAGUGGCGAACGGGUGAGUAACACGUGAGUGAUCUGCCCCCAACUUGGGUAUAAGCCUGGGAAACUGGGUCUAAUUCCCGAUAGGACUGCAGGGUGGUGCCGGUGGUGGCAGACGAUUUGCUAGUGGUUGGGGAUGAGCUCGCGGCCUAUCAGCUUGUUGGUGGGGUAAUGUCCUACCAAGGCGGCGACGGGUAGCCGACCUGGGAGGGUGAUCGGCCACACUGGAACUGAGACACGGACCAGACUCCUGCGGGAGGCAGAAGUAGGGAAUCUUGCGCAAUGGGCGGAAGCCUGAAGGAGCAACGCCGCGUGAAUGAUGAAGGUCUUCGGAUCGUAAAACGCUGUUAAUAGGGAAGAACAAAUGUGUAGGUAACUAUGCACGUCUUGACGGUACAUAAUCAGAAGACCACGGCUAACUAGGUG